CUUAUACUCCCCCCGAUCCAAAUUACUUGUCGCAGAAAUGGAUGUAUCUAGAUCUAAAAUACAUAUAGAUACAUCCAUACCUGCGACAAGUAAUUUAGAACGGAGGGAGUACAAA
rfam:Triticum aestivum genome assembly, contig: Triticum_aestivum_CS42_TGACv1_scaffold_095607_2AL